UCAAAAGUUUGUGCAGUUCCAGCUAACAGUUAAUGUAGUAGCUCUUGUAAUCAAUUUUGUUUCUGCAUGCAUUUCAGGGUCUGCUCCUUUAACAGCUGUGCAGUUGCUUUGGGUCAACAUGAUAAUGGACACUCUUGGUGCCUUGGCACUAGCUACAGAACCUCCUGUUGAUGAAUUGAUGAAAAGACCUCCUGUAGGCAGGGGUGAAAGUUUCAUUACAAGGGCCAUGUGGAGAAAUAUAUUUGGCCAGAGUAUUUAUCAACUGGUUGUCCUUGCAGUUCUCAAUUUUGAUGGGAAGCGCCUAUUAGGACUUAGUGGUUCAGAUGCCACUAAAAUUGUCAAUACUUUGAUAUUCAACUCUUUUGUCUUUUGCCAGGUCUUUAAUGAAAUAAAUAGCCGCGACAUAGAGAAGAUAAAUGUAUUCCGAGGCAUGUUCGACAGUUGGAUAUUCCUAGUUGUUAUUGUUUCAACAGUGACAUUCCAAAUAAUCAUAGUGGAGUUCUUGGGAACUUUUGCGGGCACUGUGCCAAUAAGCUGGCAACUGUGGCUUCUCAGCGUCUUAAUCGGCGCAGUUAGCAUGCCAGUCGCAGUUGUCCUGAAGUGCAUACCUGUUCAAAUGGGCACAGCAAAGCACCAUGAUGGUUACGAUGCUCUCCCUUCUGGUCCUGAGCUAGCUUGAAAGCAGGAAUGACAAGGUUGGCCUUUUAUAACCCAGAAAGUUUUGAAACUGUAGAAAUAGCCUUGCCGCAAGGCAUGAAGAGACUUGUUUUUAAACUUUUCCCAAAGCUCACGAUGCUGACUCCUUGUGCACCAGUACAUAUUUGUUUCAAAUACCAAAAAAGCCACAACCCUUUAGCGGAUUGUCAAUUUUAAUCAAAUCUUUUAAUUUUGUCAAUUUUAUUCCCUAUGGUGCGAAUGAUUACAAUUUUAGCAAUUUAAUUCAAAUUGAUACCAAAUGAUUGGAAAAAGCUAUAAUUUUUUACAUGAAUUAUGAAUU
rnacentral:misc_RNA from 1 species